GAUGAACGCUGGCGGCGUGCCUAAUACAUGCAAGUCGAGCGAACAGACGGGGGGCUUGCUCCUCUGACGUUAGCGGCGGACGGGUGAGUAACACGUGGAUAACCUACCUAUAAGACUGGGAUAACUUCGGGAAACCGGAGCUAAUACCGGAUAAUAUAUUGAACCACAUGGUGCAAUAGUGAAAGACGGUUUUGCUGUCACUUGUAGAUGGAUCCGCGCCGCAUUAGCUAGUUGGUAAGGUAACGGCUUACCAAGGCGACGAUGCGUAGCCGACCUGAGAGGGUGAUCAGCCACACUGGAACUGAGACACGGCCCAGACUCCUACGGGAGGCAGCAGUAGGGAAUCUUCCACAAUGGGCGAAAGCCUGACGGAGCAACGCCGCGUGAGUGAUGAAGGUCUUCGGAUCGUAAAACUCUGUUAUUAGGGAAGAACAACUGUGUACGUAAAUAUGCACGUCUUGACGGUACCUAAUCAGAAAGCAACGGCUAACUACGUG
rnacentral:rRNA from 1 species